UUUAGCCGCGUGCGAGAUGAAGAUUAUCAAUAAAAUUAUUUUGCCGGGAUCUGUUAUUAUUUUGGACUGUUGCAAGAUGUAUAAAUGUCUUAUUGAUUAGGGAUUCAUAUUUUUUCAUGUAAAUCACAAUCUCGUUUUUAAGGAUUCCGAGACAAACUCUAUCGAGUGCACAUUUAAUGUCAUUAAAAAAAAAUGUUUCAAGGAUACUCAGCUGGAGAUGAAUUUGACAUGUGGAGGAGAAAAUAUGCAUAUUUUUCAUCAAGCGAUCGUUUUGCCGAAUUUUAACAAGCGAUUAAGAUUGUUUAUCCUCGCAGUCAUCAGAUGUGUAACUGGAUAAAAUUCAAUUGCCUUGAAGAUAUCACUUGGGAUAGUAAGGAAUUUGCAGCUAAUAGGCAGAAUAUGUUUGUCUCUUUUGGGAUGAUAUGUUUUUAAUGGAAAUGUGCAAAUACACAAAGAUGAAGUUUCGUAAAGAAACAGAUAAUGUUUUCAAUAUUUGUUUAAAUGACAUGAAAGCAUAUAUACCAGCAACCCACAGCCAACUCUAUAAUGGCCUUGAAGUGCAAAAGUCACGUGAUCAAGAUGGUCGAUGUAUUUUUGUGGUAGUGUGUGGUUGUGAACUCGUGGUCGUGGAUUUUUUGGAUGUAUAUUUUGCUAUUAAGUGAUUUUAAAUCACUUAUGCUAAGCUUUUGUUCCAGUGUAAAGACUGCAGUUCAUGAGCCCAUUUGUUGCUAUGCAUCACCACUUGUUGCUGGGGAAGUGAAGAUAUGUAUUAAUCAUUUUGACAUUUCCUGUGAUGAAGAUAUUAACAUCAAGAUGAUCAGAAUGCUAUGGAAACUCCAAAAAGUGUCAAAAGAAACAAACCCUUAGACACAGGUCAAGAUUUUUAAGGAGAAAGAAGCUCCCACCCAGAUGUCAAAGGCUUAUUCUUCAGAAAGUACAAUGAAUUUAUGAGAGUGGGUAAAUUUUUCUUUCCAAUACUAGUGUCUUCCGCAGAAAAGAGCACCUGCAGACUUUUUGGAACCAUGUGACCAAUGAUUGGGGGAUGAAACUUGUCACUUGUUACUUUUUUUCUCAGCUAAUCAUCCGAUUUGGCGGAAAUUUGUUCCCCCUAUCAUAUUUUGCUUGACAGCUAGAAGUAUAUUGAGAGGAGAUUGUGGUCAGAAAAUGGACUCUUCUGUAUCUCCCCUUACCUACAGGUCAUCCGUUAAGAUUUUCUCUAUAUUCUUUUACUGUUUAUAGCAUUCUGUAGUUUCAUUAAUGAUGCUUUAUCAAAAAGAAUGGUCUUCAUUUCUAUCAUCCUUUGAAGUAGUACAUUAUAUUCAGAGCUUAAAUUAAACUGGAGACUAGUUGUGCUAUUUCUUACUUUUUGUGUGAAAUUGCAAUUCCAGCCGAAAACCCCCAAACCUUCCAUAGGGCUCUGGUACUUCUAAUUUUAGAAAUUAAGCGCUGCUUGUGGUUGUAGUUAUGGUGACGUGGCAUAGGAUACUGGUACUAGGGAUAAUGAUGCUGGUAGUGCGGCCAACUACUGUAGUGACCGACUGUGACACUGAAUAAGGAAUGCUAAGCAUAGAAACAUGUUCCUUUUGACUGAUGGUAAAAAUUUUAUCGCAGUGUAUAAUUUCUUGCUACUGGAUACUGCUACCAAAUCUUAUCAUUAUGUUUCUGGAUAGGAAAGUCAACCAUUUCCACAUUUAUUCCGUAGGUGUGCAGAGUAAUUGUAGAUGUUUUACAUGGAAAAAUACGUAAAAUUUUCUCAAUCAGUAAAAGAGGGGGAAGCCAUUGCAUCUGGCUUUGAAGAUAAAUGGCAGUUUCCAAAUUUGUGUAGGAGCUGGUGAUGGCCGACCGUUUCUUUCUUGACGCCAUGCUUGGCCAUGGUUCACCCAUUCCUGCCAGCCUUGUCUAACAGUGGCAUCACUUAAAUCCAAAUACAGUACAAAGUCCAAAAUCCGGAUUCAUCGGGACUACGGCGAUUACGGAUUUGAGAUUUUUCCGAAUAAUAGAUCAUCAAUUUAAAUCUGGUAUAACACAUCAAACAAACAAUAUGACAAACAGUGAGUUACAAUUACCGAAAUCAAGUAUGAAACAGAGUAGUUAUCAUAAGCAAUGGAAGAAUAUCAGAAACUGCAACAGACCUUAAGUAAAGUUGAAAAACCAAUGGAAGCAGACAGUAAAGCAGUUGCGGAAUGAGAAAAAGAAUUACACAAAUUUGAAGAACGAAAGAAAAUAAAGAUGUGGUUCCAAGAGAUUUUCAACAAAUUAAGAGCAUGAAGAAGGCUAAUUCAUUACUAGUUCAUUUGCAUAUAUAUCAUAUGUAUGCUAUAAAGGAUUCUUAAUGCUACUUAUUUCAUGGGAAUAAUGUUUCUUUCCUCACUCAAAUAAUCCUUUGAUGUAGGAAUAUGAAAAAAGAGAUGUCAGAAAUCCUACAUAUGACAGUUUGAAGCUUUAAAACCUUUAGUUUCAUUUAAAAAUGUUAUGUAAAAUACAUAUUUUUAUUCUUAUUAUAAUUUUGCUGUAAAUUUUUUUUACAAAUAAAAAAUUUCUGUUAUGAAAUGGACAUAAUUUUGUAACAGUUUAUAUUUACUAUAAUUUGGUAACAAAUUUUGCAUAUAAACUAAUAAUGGGCAAACAACUAAAUCGGUUUCUAGAAUAGAGUAACUAAAUUCCUGGUUUUAUACUGGCUGUGAAACUGUUUCUGCAUAAAGGAUGAAAUUAUUGUGUGUAACUAGAAAUAUUUCAUUGAAAGCUUCCACAUGAUUAAAAAUGGUUUAAAAAAAUAUAACCAUAUACAGAUUUUAUGUUUUUUAUGGUUAUUUUAUUGUGGAUAUUUUCCAUAGUAUAGGAUUUUGGAGAUAUCAUCCCUGGGCAUAGAGGAAUCAUGGAUCAAUUUGAUUGUCAGUUCCUAAUGGCCACAUUUGUAAAUGUGUAUAUAUCCAGUUUUAUAAGUUUUCACUAAAGAACAUAAUGCUCAACAAUGCAAUUUUUUAGAGCUCAGUUCAUUGAUGGCGUAUCAUCAGUUACACAAAUUGUUCUUAGACAAAAAUGAAGCAAGUAUGUGUAUUGUAAAUCAUAUACAAUUUUUCAUAUUUCUUUACUUGGUGUAUUUUAGCCUGUAUUUUAUCAGAAACAUUUUUUGGGGGCUAAAACUGUUUGUCAUACUUUUAAAAGUACAAUUGUAUUAAAUAAAAAUUUUUGA